GAGGGAGGGGGAGGUGGGGGUGUCAGCCAGGGCCGAGCUCAAGGAGGGGAAUGCUGAUGCACGCCGGCCAUGUGCAUGAUGGGGGGGGCAAUUAACAGCAUUAUUAGAGAUAACUACUAAGAAAGAAGUCCCCAAGAAAACCUCGGCAGGUUAAAGUGGUGUAACUCUGUAAUUUCCAGAGAAGUGGUAUGAUGAGGAGUGAUGUAAUAAGGAGUGAUGUGAAAAUAAGGAGUGACAUGGUGAUAAGGAGUGCUAUAAUGUGGAGUGACAUGUGUUACGGAGUGAUAUAAUGAGGGGUGUGAUAAUAAGGAGUGACAUGGUGAUAAGGAGUGCUAUAAUGUGGAGUGACAUGUGUUACGGAGUGAUAUAAUGAGUGAUGUGAUAAUAAGGAGUGACAUGGUGAUACAGAGUGAUACGAGUGAUAUAAUGAGGAGUGAUAUGAUAAUAAAGAGUGAUGUGAUAAUGAGUGAUAUGGAGUGAUAUAAUGAGGAGUGAUAUGGAGUUACGGAGGGAUGAGGGAUGUGAUAAUAAGGAGUGACAUGGUGAUAUGGAGUGAUAUGAUAAGGAGUGAUAUAAUGAGUGAUGUGAUAAUGAGGAUAUAAUGAGGAGUGAUAUGGAGUUACGGAGUGAUAUGAUGAGGGGUGUGAUAAUAAGGAGUGACAUGGUGAUAUGGAGUGAUGAGUGAUGUGAUAAUAAGGAGUGAUAUAAUGAGUGAUGUGAUAAGGAGUGAUAUAUAAUAAGGAGUGAUAUGAGUGAUGUGAUAAUAAGGAGUGAUAUAAUGAGUGAUGUGAUAAGGAUGAUAUGAUAAUAAGGAGUGAUAUAAUGAGUGAUGUGAUAAUGAGGAUACAAUGAGGAGUGAUAUGGAGUUACGGAGUGAUAUGAUGAGGGGUGUGAUAAUAAGGAGUGACAUCGUGAUAUGGAGUGAUGAGUGAUGUGAUAAUAAGGAGUGAUAUAAUGAGUGAUGUGAUAAGGAGUGAUAUAUAAUAAGGAGUGAUAUGAGUGAUGUGAUAAUAAGGAGUGAUAUAAUGAGUGAUGUGAUAAGGAGUGAUACAUAAUAAGGAGUGAUAUAAUGAGUGAUGUGAUAAUGAGGAGUGAUAUGGACUCCAGGAUGCGCUGCAGCCUGCUUGAGGACUAACGUUGGAAGAAUGGCGCUCGGCUGAAUGUUAUUUUGAAUAACAAGUGUAACCUACUUUUUCUUGCUGCUCUCAACAGCGAUCGCCAGCGCUGAAAGGGAUUCUGGGAAAGGUAGAAGCAGAGAAGACCGGCUGUGGGAAAAUUGACGCACCAUUAAGUUUAUUCCAACACUUCAUCACAGAAUAACUGUGGAUCAAUGGAUUGGGAACAAGACAAUCAGGGGGAUUCUCUUCAAAUAAAACCAGUUCACUGACUUAUUAUUGCUGCCUUACUUUAUACUUUCUUAGUAUGACUCCAAUUUAUCACCUGGAGGUUUAUCUUUUUAAAGUGAACCUGUGAGUAAUUAGUGAAGUUUAAAUUCUAUAAAAGUUAAUGGGGGAACAGUGAGCCAGAUGUGUCAAGUGAAAGGAUGUGAAACCACAAAUGACUAUUUGAUGCUUUCUGGGGAAAUGCAGUACAGAUAAAUGGUCUCGUGCCCGUCAGGUCUACGUUUGAUCGUCUAGACUAGCAGAGCAUUCGGUGACGUCAUUCAUGAUCCCAGCUGAUCACCGGAUGAGGCGCAUGCUGAACAUACCUGCUGGUUAGCGCCCUCGCUGUGAGCAUGUUAGCGUUUCCAUCAGAACGUGCAGCCGUGACUCCUGAAGACCUCCUUGUUCGUCCAUCACGGGGAUCUGACCCUCCUUGACCUCCUCCUGCAGGAACACGCACCUCCAGGUAGACGCAGCACUUAAUCGAUGCCGAGAGGUUCUCAGCGAGCCGACCGCACAACAAUCGAUCCGUGAGGAGCUUUGAUGCGCUAAAUGCUGUUCGACACGAGGAAUCAUGUGUGAACAACACCGAGCUACACGCGUGAUUAAAACAAAGCUCGAUUUCAGCAGGAAACAGACUUUGACUUUUAAUGAAGAACAAUGAAAAGUGACCGAGUACAAUUAAAGUAGUGAAAUCAAUCUUGAUUCAUGUAGUCCUUUUAUUUACUGUUAAGGGAAAUGUAUGAUCUUCUCUUCUAACGCUAUGCUUAUAAUAAUAAUAAUAAUAAUAAUAAUAAUAAUGUAAAAGCAGACGAGUGUAGUUUCCAAAAUGUUGAACUACUCCUUUAUGCUUGAAGUUGAAGCUGUUGAAUGAGAAUAACUGAAGUUGGUUUGUGAUGUCAUGGCUUCAUAGUUUAAAAUAUAAUGGAAAUGUUUGUUUGUUUAGAACAAACUACUUGUCAAAUGCUACUUAAGCGGAGUUUGAAUGAAUGAAAAGCAGUGAGAUAAAGACAAAGCAGAAAGGUUCCAUUUGCAGCCUGCGAGUUGUUGACUGCUGCUUCCUGCACUUCUGUGUGCGGAUUGUGAAAUUAAAAUCACAAAGGCAGAUUUUAGACACCGAACUGAUGAGCUCAACUGGAAACGGCAGCAGACGUCCUAAAGGGACGAAACGACGCCGCUCCACACGAGACGCGCUGACAGAUGCACUCAACCGCUGUUUGAUUAAUACGGGUUGCUUACAUGAGGACACAAAGCCCCCCGACAACGACUGAUACAAUAAGACGCAUCAUUGGAUGCAGGCUUUGAAUGAUAAAUAAUGAAGUGGGUUUUUGGUCCUUUUCACCUUUAUUCUUUCACUGCAGCGCCGAGUCGGCCAAUCGGAGAGGCCGACUCGGCGCUGCAGCUGAGAAUAAACCAGACAGACAUUUUGAAGGAGCUUCCCCUCCUCUGCUCCUCCCUUGAGCCAUUUCCUCCUCCUUCCCCCCUCGGCGGGGGUGAGGAUCACUGGAGGGGGAAGAUUUCAUCAUCUGGUCCUGCCAGGAUCUAUUCCUGCUUUGGUGUGCCCCCCCCCCCACCGGAGCACAUCAAUCUCCUCGCCUCCUCUCACGCUACCGGAGGGGGAUGUAGAUGUGGUUAAGCCUUCGCUUCCACUUCACUCAUAUCAAGCAGCGAGAAAGGAGAAGGAGGAGGUGGAGGUGUGUGUGGGGGGGUCACAGGAUGCCAAGAAAAGGCCCCAGAAGACAAGAUAUGACACAUCAUACGCUGUGUGUGUGAGUGUGUUUCAGCUAAUCUGUCAGAUCGGAAAAGGACACCCGAGGCGUGAGACGGGCGCUGGUCCCACGACCUCAAACACGUCCUUCAAAAGGACAAAGCGCACCGGCCGAGUCUCUGUUCACGGAGAAAGUGGCGUUUCCGCUCCGAGGCGUCGGUGGGUUUGUUUCCUGCUCCGGUUCUUCAGCACCUCAAAACACCGCAGCCUGUUCAGGCGUUCACCCACUCACUCACCCAGUCAC
ensembl:lncRNA